UGAGGUAAAUACGGUUGGAAUUUUGUCUUUUAACUAUAAAUCCAACCGAAUUUGGCUCGGC
rnacentral:pre_miRNA from 1 species